rnacentral:rRNA from 1 species
GACGAACGCUGGCGGCGUGCCUAAUACAUGCAAGUCGAACGAGAGCAACCGGUGCUUGCACUGGUCAAUCUAGUGGCGAACGGGUGAGUAACACGUGGGUAACCUGCCCAUCAGAGGGGGAUAACAUCCGGAAACGGAUGCUAAAACCGCAUAGGUCUUCGAACCGCAUGGUUUGAAGAGGAAAAGAGGCGCAAGCUUCUGCUGAUGGAUGGACCCGCGGUGCAUUAGCUAGUUGGUGAGGUAACGGCUCACCAAGGCCGUGAUGCAUAGCCGACCUGAGAGGGGGAUCGGCCACAUUGGGACUGAGACACGGCCCAAACUCCUACGGGAGGCAGCAGUAGGGAAUCUUCCGCAAUGGACGCAAGUCUGACGGAGCAACGCCGCGUGAGUGAAGAAGGUUUUCGGAUCGUAAAACUCUGUUGUUAGAGAAGAACAAGUGCUAGAGUAACUGUUAGCGCCUUGACGGUAUCUAACCAGAAAGCCACGGCUAACUACGUG